UACAGAGGGUGCAAGCGUUAAUCGGAAUUACUGGGCGUAAAGCGUGCGUAGGCGGUUGCGUAAGUCAGAUGUGAAAGCCCCGGGCUCAACCUGGGAAUUGCAUUUGAGACUGCGAAGCUAGGGUGCGGAAGAGGGAAGCGGAAUUUCCGGUGUAGCGGUGAAAUGCGUAGAUAUCGGAAGGAACACCAGUGGCGAAAGCGGCUUCCUGGUCCAGCACCGACGUUCAGGCACGAAAGCGUGGGGAGCAAACAGG
rnacentral:rRNA from 1 species